GGAUCCUAGCUGGGUGUGGGGGGCGGUAAAAAUAAAGUGUUUCCACCUCCAGCCAAUCCCAGGGAAGACAGGAGGGCACUCCUCCAAUAGGAUCCUGGAGCCGUCGGUAGCAGUGGCGGCCUGAGACCACCCCUAACGCUCUGGCAGGCGGGAGGGACGCAUCCGGUGCAUUCGCGAGAUCCAGUUGCCGGUACCUGGAAUCUGCUUGCGCGAGGCAGUGGCGACACCGACGGCCCGAGGUUCCCGGUCACCAGGUUGCGGAGGAUCGUGCGGGUAGCAAAAGGAAGGCGAGUGCUCCUGCGGCCCCAGACAGCAACCAGAACAUGCAUCAUUGUUAGAACCAUCACCCUGCAGCUAGCUUGGACACCAUUAAAAGGGCUCAUCAGCUGCAAACGGAUAGAAGUAUCUGAUAUCGUGAAGACAGUUUCAGGGCUUCUCCUUGGAGCUACAUUCUCCAGAAGCCUCUGCUUGGCCUCCCUGCACCCAGCCCCACCCUAUCCAGUCACAGCUUGGGUCGUGUGUGGUAUUUCUUGGCAACUGGAACACAGACUUCUCCAGCAGCGCCACGGGCCCCUUGUCCUCAGUGAGCAGAAGACUACAGAAGCUGGCUACUGAAGAGGCUGUCCAAGUCUUAGAGCUCCUCAUUGGCCCCGCUUAGCGCAGUGCUAUAACUGAGUGCUGGAUGUUAGUCAUUCAUGCUCACCACCUUUAGGGACUGCAAAGGGAUUUGUCAGACCCCAUUUCACUAAGGGCCACCCUCUAAGGAUCUCAACAGGAGGCUGCCCAUAGAGAGAAGUGGCCUGCCUAGGGUCUCCACUGCCUUAGGUCCUAUGUGGACACUCCAGGUCUAAGGGGAUUAGUAUUUUUUCACCUACCUGUCAUCCACUUAUCAACUGGGAAAUUUUGUCUCCUGUUAUUUUUUGUUCUUGUGUUUGUUUUUUAGUAGGAAGAGUUUUAUCUAUUGCUUCAUUUGAUAGAGGACUAGUCAGGAUUUCUUUUUCGUCUUGAAUCAAUUCUGCUAAGUUAUAGUUUUCUGGGAAUUGGUCCAUUUUGUCUGCCUUCUCAAGUUGACUGGCAUCAAGUUUCCUUAUUUUUUUUAUUUUCUGCUGUAUACAAUCUGUAGUUAUGUCUCCUUUUUCAUUGCUAAUAUUGGUAAUUUGUGCCUUCUCACUUUUUUUCUUGAUCAAUCUCACCAGAGGUUUGUCUAUUUUAUUAGUCUUUUCAAAGAACCAGCUUUUGGCUUUGUUGCUUCUCUCUAUUUUGUCUUUGUUUUCUAUUUCUUUAAUUUCUGCUCUUAUCUUUUUUGAUCUCCUUCCUUCCACAUUUUUUGGAUUUAUUUUGUUGUUAUUUUUCUAAUUCCUUAAAUUUGACACUGAGCUCAUUAAUUUUCAGCCUUUCUUGUUUUCUUAUUUGCACAUUUAAGGACAUAACUUUCCCUCUAACUAAUGCUUUUCUACAGGUUCAAAUAUGUCAUAUUUUGUUACUGUUUGGUUCCAAGUACUUCAGCAUUUCCAUCAUGGUUACUUCUUUGACUUGGGAGUUAUAUAGAAGUGUGUUUCUAAAUAUUUGGAGAUUUUAAAAUUUAUCUCUGUGUUACUGAAGUCUGUCUUAAUUGCAUUAUAGUCAGAGGAUGUGAUCUGUGUGAUUAAAAACUGAUAUUUAUUGAGAUUUGUUUUAUGGCUUAGUAGUGAUCAAUAUUUUUGAAUGUCUCCUAUGUGCUUUAUAAGACUGUAUGUUCUCUAAUUGUUGAAUACAAAGUUCUAUAUAAGUCUGUUAUCAAAUUUGUUCAUUGUAUUGUUCACAUUUUCUAUAUAUAAACUGAAUUUUUGGUAACAAUAUACCAAUAAUUGUAAGGUAUAUUAAUAUGCAGUUAUGAUGGUGAUUUGUUUAUUUCUCCUUGUAGUUCUUUUUUCUUUAUUUUUGAGAGUAUUUUAUUAGGAAUAUUCAAAUUAAGAAUUGUUAUAUAUUCCUGGUAAGCAUGUAAUGACCCUCUCUAUUCCUGAUGAUGCAUUCUUCCUGUCUGUUUUAUCUCGCAUUAAUAUAGCAACACAAAUUUUUCUUCUUGUUAGGAUUUGUGUGUUAUAUAAUUUUCCAUCCUUUUACUCUUCAACAUUUUCAUGCCUUUAUACUGUAAUUAUAUCUCUUGGGAAUAGCAUAUAGUUGGACCUUUUAAAAAGUCUAAUCUAAUGAUCUCUUUUUUAAUGAUGACUUUAGUCUGUUUACAUUUAUUGUGAUAUAUUUUGACUUGUUUCUACCACCAUACUUUUUAACCUCUAUUUCCUACUACCACCUUUUUGAUGCUUCAUUUUCCUCUUUUUUUUGCCUGCUUUUAUAGUUUUGAAAUUUGUUUGUUUGCUUUUUUGAUUAAUUUUUUCCUUCCUACUCUUUGCAAUUUGCCAGUUUUUUUCCCAUUCUUUCUGUGGUUAUCCUUGAAAUUUUACCAUACAUGUUUAACUUACAAGGUUUAAAGUUGAACAGUAUUUUAACCUCCCUCUUGAAGAAUUCAGGAACCUUUGAAGCCUUCAGCUCUAGUUAUUCCUAUUGUAACUACAUGUUAUUCUUUUGAGUAUGUUUGUUUGUUCCUUUUUCUCCCCUAACCUCACUAAUAUAACAUCAUUAGUAUAUUUUACAUAGAUAGUAUGUGUUUGGAUUUACAUGCAUACAUUCUUGCAUCUCAGACAUCAUUCUGGGAUCAUUUUCCUUCAUUAUGAUUACAGUGUUUAACUGCUCUUAGAGUACAUGUCUGUUGGUGUUAAAUUCUCCUAGUCUUUAUUAUAUGUGAAUUUAUUUAUUUUCAUUCUUAAAACAUAGUUUGUUAUAGGUAAUAUUAGAAGUCCACUAUCUGUCUAAUUGCUAUUUUUUCUCUUUUCUUGGGGGUUGGAUAUUCAGGGGAUUCUGCAGUUUCAUUCUAUCAGUGUUUACAUAUGUAUUUCUUUUUUAGUAUUAUACUUUGGAGAUGUUCUUCAUGCCUCUGGGUUUAUGUUUUUCAUAAUUUCUGGGAAAUUCUCAGCCAUUGUCUCUUCAAAUAUUGCCUAUCUUCCAUUCUUUCUAUAUUUUCUUUCUCAGAAUUCCAUUGGUCAUAUUUUGGACCUCCUCAUUCUAUCUUCCAUAUCUCAUAAUGUCUCAUUGAUGUUUUCUAUUAUCUUGUCUUCCUGAACUUCAUUCUAGGCAAUUUCUUCAGCUAUGUCUUUCAGCUUAUUGAUUCUCUCUUCAACUGUGUCUGAUCUGCUGUUUAAUCUGUCCACUGAGUUUUUUAUUUCAAGAAUUAUGUUUUUCACUUAUACAAACUUCAUGUAUUUCACUUUCUAAUCUUCCCAGUCAUCCCUAAUAGUCUCUUGUUGCUUGCUCAUCUUUGUGAUUGUGUUUAUUAUUUCUUUAAACAUUUUAUACAAUUAUUAUUCAACCAGUAAUCAUUGUCUCUCUAAGUAUGGUGUUAUAAAUAUUGUUCACAUCCAACUACAUAGUACAGUUGGAUUACAUAUCCUCUGUUGUAUGCCUUUUUGUUUUCUUAGUAACUGGAUUUUUUUUCUUUUGCCCAGUGUUCUAAUACCAUUACUAGUUCUUCUCCGAAAUUCUUUUAAAUUUCAUAUCAGAUCAUGUCCCUCCUUUGCUCAAAAUUCUCCCAUAGCUCCCAGCUCCCUUAGAAUAAAAGCCAAAGCCCUCACCAUGGCCCUUUACACAACCUGGUCCCCAUCACCUCUCUGAUCUUCCACUUUCCCCGUUACUCACUGUUCUCCAACCACAUUGUGUUCCUUAAGCAUGUCAGGUACCCCCCGCCUCCCAACUUCAGAGCCUUUAUACUUGCUAGUCUCACAUCUAGAAUAUGCUUCUUCCCAGAUAAUCUGAUGACUUACCCAGUCACUUCCAGUAUGCUCAAAUGUCACCUCCCUAGAGAAGCAUUCCCUGACUGACAUAUCUAAAAUAGCCCCAUUCACCAGCACUUUCUAUACCCUUAUCCUUCUCUAUGUUAUAUUUUUCUACAAAUCACUGAUGACCACCUGAUAUAUUAUAUUUAUUUACUGUGAUCAGUGUUUGUCUCUCCACAAUAGACUGUAAACUUCACAAAGCAAGGACUCUUGUUUUGUCCAUAGUUGUCUCUCUAGUGCUAAGAACAGUGCAUAGUCAUAUUUAAUAGACAUUCAAUAAAUAUUUUUGGAAUAAACUGAGUGAAUUAAUGAAUGAGUUAAUGUGGAGGAUAGAGGGAGAAACGCACUGAGAACUCAACUAGGCAUGAAGGCCUUUCAUGCCAUGCCGAGGAGCUCGAGUGUCAUUGUUCAGAAGGAUAGGGGCUGUAAAAAAGCAGUGAGGAUAGCUUCUGGAUUCUUUUGAGAAGCAGGUUCAGAGUUGAUAGGGUAGUAACAAGACCCCAUCUUUAUGACUGGCCCUAUACCCUGGGCUCUUGAAGGUGAACCAGCCUCUUUCUCAAACAGCCCUCAGACUGCUGUGUUGUCAUGCCUACCUGUUUACUUGGUGAAAACCAAAGCCACUGCUCUCAUUAGGCCUUUUGGUCCCAGCUAGGAUCCUCCUUUCUCCAGCCUGUGAGAAACUGUUUCUUGGUCCCCAGGCCAAGCAGAUCACCCCCAUUAGGCUUUUUCUGUAGUAUUUAGGCCGGGGGUGGUGGUACAGCCGCUGGUAUAAAGCCUGGAACAUAGUAAGUGCUGUCAUAAUGCUGGACACUUCAGGGAGGUAAGUUUCAGUUCAGAAAAUUUUUUUCCAUUGUAAAGGCUACAACAGGUUGUGAGGUUUUAAUCCUGGCUUUUCCCCUAACCCCGUUGUGGGCCAGCAUGGCUCCAGUGUUUCUGUCUACCCAUGACUGUUUAGAUACUAAUUCUGUUUAAUGUGUGGCCUACUCCCCUGGCUUUUUGUAACCCACUGAUUUCAUCAGAAUGCUGUCAAUACACACAGGUCCCUGUGGCAUGCCCCUAGAGACACCCUCUCUGGGCCAACAUCAGUUCAUUAAUCAUUGUCACACUGGUUUUAACCAGCCAACUAGUUAUAAGUUCACUGCAGCAAAGUUGACUGGACACCUAGUAUUUAUCAGGCCUCCUGUCCCGCACUGAGGACACAGAGAUGAACAGGUGUGUUCUCAGACACAGAACCAUCAACUCAGAGCAGUGGUCAAUGCAGUAAUAGUGACGAUACAAGAGACUGUGAGAGCCCCUAUCAAACCCACAACCCAGCUCAGGGUACCAAGGAAGGUUUCUUGGAAGAGGUGGUACGUGAACUGACUCUAAAAAAGAUGAGUAGGAAUCUUCUAGAUGACUAGCAAGAGGAGAGGAAGGCAGUCCAGGCAAAAGGUACAGCAUGCAAAGGCCCAAAGAUGGGAAACAAUGUGCUGUACACCAAUCUAAUUGCAUUCAGUGUUCACCUUUUUUUCUGUGAGGUCAUUCUAGGAGACCAAAAUUCUGACAGGAGUUUGUGACCUCCUCUGACAUGCUAAUAUGUAAACUCCAGAAAAGUAAUGAAAAGUUGGUUGGACACAACUGUCCUCAAACUUGUCCAUACCAGCUUCCAACGUUCCUGUAUUCCUUAAAUAGAUGAUAGUGUUUAUAUUACCUGCUUCCUUUGUACCUCCCCUGGGGCUGGGGUCAUUCCCACUGUCCUAGAGGUUAUGGAGUCUCCCUCAACAACUUGUAUAGAGAUCUCGUGGAGAGGAGUUUUUCUGACUCCUGAUAUCAACCAUGACAUAAAGACUAUUCAUCUUUUAGGGAAUGGACAGGGCCUGCCUAUCUUGUUCUCGGACAUUAGGGUUAACCUCCUCUAGGAUUAAUUCAUACGUCUAAUAAUCUAGGACAAGUUAGUUGUAGAGUCUGGCAAGCCCGAUUUCAAAGUGUGGAGCCCCCAUAUCUUGGUUGUGUGACCUUAGCCAUGUCACCUGUCCUCUCUUUAAGCGUCAAUUUACUCAUCAGUAAAAUGAGUUGAAUACCCACCUUGAAUAGUUGUGGGUAUUAAAGCAUAUGUGAGGUACUUGGCACCUGACCACCAUUUACUGAACACCAGUAUUAAAGGGAGAAUUGCCUAGUGGUUAAGAACAUGAGCAGACGAACCUGGAUUUGGAUUAUAGCUCAACUACUUACAAACAUUGGGACCUUGGUCAAGUUUCCUAACCUUUUUAAAAGCCUUAGUAAAAUGAAGUUACUGCACCUACCUCAGAGUAUGUUCUUCUAACAGGGUAUAUACGCGAGGUGGGAGCCUUCACAAGCCUCAGACCCCUCCCCAGCCUGCCCUCUCAAGAGACUCCCCCCUCCCCAGGGGACCUACCUUUAGCUUCCCCCUCUCUCUAAGGCUGACAAAGAGGACUGAGCCGGCCCCUCAGAGCCACAGGGCUACCUUGUUAUAGGAGCUUUCUAAUGUGAAUUGGCUCUUGCAUUUCUGGAAUGAACCCAACAUUUUCAUCUUAUGUUAAAUCUUUUUUUACUCAUCCUAGAUUUGUUUUGCUAAUAAAUUCUUUAGGAUUUUUGCACCUUUGGUCAUCUACCAUAUUUGUCUGGUCAAAGUUAUUAGAGGGCUCAUCCAGUAAAUAAAUUAGUUGGUCCAGUUCAUCUAAAUUCUCAAAUUAAUUGUAUCCUCUUGUUGUGUAAUUUCUGCUUUAUCUUUUAUGUUGUUCAUAUUAUUUAUUUGUGCCUUUUCUCUCUUUCUUGAUUAGUCCCUCCAGAGAUUUUCUAGUGGUUAGUCUAGAAAAUUUACCAUAAAUAUUCAGUGUAAAGUCUAAAUAGUAUCAUAAUCCCCCACCCCAAACAAUACAAGGAUUUUAUCAAAUACUAAUGUCUCCCAAUUUACAUGUUAUGUUUGUCUACUAUUUUAGUUCUUUCUUUUCUAAGGAAGAUACUAACAUGUAUACUAGAUGGACAUUAACAAUAUUAUUUGUGCAGUCAGUGUUUAAAUAAUUAUUUACUAUUUUAUUUGCUCACCGUCCUUCUUAAACCUCAGACCUCCUUUUUGGAGAUAAGUUUCCUUCUUGAAAUAAAUACUUUAGAUCCUUUAGUGCAGAUCUCUUAACAGGAAGCUGUCUGAUUCUGUAUUUAUCUGUAAAUGCCUUUAUUAUAUUUUAUUCUUCUUGAAAGAUAGGUUUUGCUGGGUCCCCAAUUCUGAAUUACCUCUUUUUCUCUUAACACUUAUAAAAUAUUAUGGCACUGUCUUCUGAUUUCCACUGUUGCUGUUGAGAAGUCUGUUGUCAGUUUGCCUUUUUUUUCAAGUGUUCUUUUUCUCUUGCUGUUUUGAAGAUCCUUCUUUGAUUGUUGCUUAACUCUAAGGGCUUUUCAUCGUUGUUGUUCUUUGACUGUUUCUUUGUAUAGCUUCUUGAUCUUGCUUCAUGAAUGCAGUAUUUUUUUCUUGUCACUCUGAGGACAUUAAAUAAUAGUGUCUUUCAAAAAAA